AAUCCAUAGGUUAAUGAGGCGAACCGGGGGAACUGAAACAUCUAAGUACCCCGAGGAAAAGAAAUCAACCGAGAUUCCCCCAGUAGCGGCGAGCGAACGGGGAGGAGCCCAGAGCCUGAAUCAGCAUGUGUGUUAGUGGAAGCGUCUGGAAAGGCGCGCGAUACAGGGUGACAGCCCCGUACACAAAAGCGCAUGUGCUGUGAGCUCGAUGAGUAGGGCGGGACACGUGGUAUCCUGUCUGAAUAUGGGGGGACCAUCCUCCAAGGCUAAAUACUCCUGACUGACCGAUAGUGAACCAGUACCGUGAGGGAAAGGCGAAAAGAACCCCGGCGAGGGGAGUGAAAAAGAACCUGAAACCGUGUACGUACAAGCAGUGGGAGCACCCUUUGGGUGUGACUGCGUACCUUUUGUAUAAUGGGUCAGCGACUUAUAUUCUGUAGCAAGGUUAACCGAAUAGGGGAGCCGGAGGGAAACCGAGUCUUAACCGGGCGUUAAGUUGCAGGGUAUAGACCCGAAACCCGGUGAUCUAGCCAUGGGCAGGUUGAAGGUUGGGUAACACUAACUGGAGGACCGAACCGACUAAUGUUGAAAAAUUAGCGGAUGACCUGUGGCUGGGGGUGAAAGGCCAAUCAAACCGGGAGAUAGCUGGUUCUCCCCGAAAGCUAUUUAGGUAGCGCCUCGUGAAUUCAUCUCCGGGGGUAGAGCACUGUUUCGGCUAGGGGGCCAUCCCGGCUUACCAACCCGAUGCAAACUGCGAAUACCGGAGAAUGUUAUCACGGGAGACACACGGCGGGUGCUAACGUCCGUCGUGAAGAGGGAAACAACCCAGACCGCCAGCUAAGGUCCCAAAGUCAUGGUUAAGUGGGAAACGAUGUGGGAAGGCCCAGACAGCCAGGAUGUUGGCUUAGAAGCAGCCAUCAUUUAAAGAAAGCGUAAUAGCUCACUGGUCGAGUCGGCCUGCGCGGAAGAUGUAACGGGGCUAAACCAUGCACCGAAGCUGCGGCAGCGACACUGUGUGUUGUUGGGUAGGGGAGCGUUCUGUAAGCCUGUGAAGGUGUGUCGUGAGGCAUGCUGGAGGUAUCAGAAGUGCGAAUGCUGACAUAAGUAACGAUAAAGCGGGUGAAAAGCCCGCUCGCCGGAAGACCAAGGGUUCCUGUCCAACGUUAAUCGGGGCAGGGUGAGUCGACCCCUAAGGCGAGGCCGAAAGGCGUAGUCGAUGGGAAACGGGUUAAUAUUCCC
rnacentral:rRNA from 1 species